CAGCUUCAAUUCUCCCAGCCGCCUCUAGGUGCUGCUAAAGCGCCGAGUUAACGAAGUCAACGCAGAAGAACGUCACGUGACUCUGCGGACGCGUUGGCCUGGCAACUGCAGCAAACCUUUAUCCGGUGCUUAAAGCACACGCCCACAAGACACAGCGAUGCCCGAGGUCAAGUCAAUAUUGAGAGAAGUUCUGCCUAAGCAAGGACAGCUCUACAUGGAAGACGUCCCAACCAUGGUUCUGUGCAAGCCAAAGCUGCUCCCACUCAAAUCAGUCACCCUGGAGAAACUGGAGAAGAUGCAGAUGGAGGCACAAGAGGCCGUCAAGCAGCAGGAACUGGCAAUGAAGGAGCAAGGACAGCAGAUGCCCAGUUGAAGACUUGAAACCACACAAAAAAAUAAAAUACACGACUUUUUGGUAGAGAGCACAAGUCCAAUGACUCAAACAUUGGCGAGAAACUAUUUUUGUAAUCAGUGGAACAAACUUAAGUUGUACUUUUUGCUUUUAAGUAAGCGUCUGCGUUUAAGCAAGUCAGCACCAUCUUGAAUGUUUUCUCGCCUCGGGACUCCAACACCAUCACGACGGCCUGCCGAGAGCGCCACAGGUUUUCAGAAAACGCACCUGAAAAUAUGCAGCAGCUCCUGCGGUAGGGAGCCAGCAGACUCAUAACAAGUUUGUUGGUAGCGGCGGCUUAUCUGCGGAAUUGUGCAACAUGUAGAGAUUAUUUUAAUAGUGACAAUGAUAGGAAAAAAAACAAGUAUUUUAUAAUUAUUUAAUCAAUAAACAAAGAAAUUUUUGCAAUAAGUUGCUGCCCAAGUACAAAAAUAAACCAUUAUGUUACGUUU